UAUUAUUUUAGCGGCGGACGGGUGAGUAACGUGUGGGUAACCUGCCUUUUACUGGGGAAUAAUCACUGGAAACGGUGACUAAUACCGCAUACGGUUCUUGGAAGGCAUCUUCUAGGAAAGAAAGGAUUUAUUCGGUAAAAGAUGGGCCCGCAUCUGAUUAGCUAGUUGGUGAGAUAACAGCCCACCAAGGCGACGAUCAGUAGCCGACCUGAGAGGGUGACCGGCCACAUUGGGACUGGGACACGGCCCAAACUCCUACGGGAGGCAGCAG
rnacentral:rRNA from 1 species